rnacentral:snRNA from 1 species
GCAUGUGAGGGUGAUCUGGCUGCCACAGCUGUCACCCAACAGCUGCCACAGGGCUUGUCUGGCUGGUGAGGCGGGUGUCCCCUCCUCCCUCACUGACCCACCUGGGUCCCUCCCGAGGCUGCAUGCUCACCUUCCCGAGAGGGGAGGCCUUUCCUUCAGCCCAGGGUCUCCGGGCAGCUGCGCUCCCUGCUAGAACCUCCCAAGAAGCUCUCAAAAUGGUUUCAUGAUGUGGAUGCGAUGCCUUCAGAACGUAACUCUUGUUUAUGUGAUAAAACUGGUAAAACUGGUUUCAU